rnacentral:misc_RNA from 1 species
AACGCACAUUGCGCCCAUUGGUAUUCCGAUGGGCAUGCCUGUUCGAGCGUCAUUAUCAACCUUCAAACCCCCGGGUUUGGUGUUGGAGAUCGGUCAAGGUUCACGCCGUGGCCGCUCCUAAAGACAAUGACGGCGUCCGCGAGCGACCCCCGGUACACUGAGCUUUUCACCGAGCACGUACUGGAUCGGGUCUCGCAGGCUCGGUCUGCCUCCCCUUAGGGAGAAAACUUAUUACUAAGGUUGACCUCGGAUCAGGUAGGGAUACCCGCUGAACUUAA